GCCUUCUUAGCUCAGUGGUAGAGCAUCGUAUUUGUAAUGCGAUGGCCGCCGGUUCAAAUCCGGCAGAAGGCU
rnacentral:tRNA from 2 species